rnacentral:rRNA from 1 species
CCUACGGGAGGCAGCAGUAGGGAAUCCUCCACAAUGGGCGAAAGCCUGAUGGAGCAACGCCGCGUGAGUGAAGAAGGUUUUCGGAUCGUAAAACUCUGUUGUAAGGGAAGAACAAGUACAGUAGUAACUGGCUGUACCUUGACGGUACCUUAUUAGAAAGCCACGGCUAACUACGUGCCAGCAGCCGCGGUAAU